GUUGCGGUUAAAAAGCUCGUAGUUGGAUUUCUGUCGAAGACGGCCGGUCCGCUCUUUGAGCGUGUAUCUGGUUCGGCUUUGGCAUCCUCGUGGGGUACGUAACUGUGCUUGAUUGCAUGGUGCGGAAUUCACGACUUUUACUUUGAGGAAAUUAGAGUGUUCACGGCAGGCAUGAGCCUUGAAUACAUUAGCAUGGAAUAAUAAUAUAGGACUUUGGUUUUAUUUUGUUGGUUUCUAGAACUAAAGUAAUGAUUAAUAGGGAUAAUUGGGGGCAUUUGUAUUAACGCGUCAGAGGUGGAAUUCUUGGAUUGCGUUACGACAAACUACUGCGAAAGCAUUUGCCAAGGAUGUUUUCAUUGAUCAAGAACGAAAGUAUGGGGAUCGAAGAUGAUUAGAUACCGUCGUAGUCUAUACCAUAAACUAUGCCGACUAGAGAUUGGAGGUCGCUCAUGUAAGGCUCCUUCGGCACGCUAUGAGAAAUCAAAGACUUCGGGUUCCGGGGGGAGUAUGGUCGCAAGGCUGAAACUUAAAGGAAUUGACGGAAGGGCACCACCAGGAGUGGAGCCUGCGGCUUAAUUUGACUCAACACGGGAAAACUCACCAGGUCCAGACAUAGUAAGGAUUGACAGAUUGAUAGCUCUUUUCU
rnacentral:rRNA from 1 species